GACGUAGGGCGCGAGCGUUGUCCGGAUUUAUUGGGCGUAAAGAGCUCGUAGGCGGCUUGUCGCGUCGUCCGUGAAAACUUGGGGCUCAACCCCAAGCUUGCGGUCGAUACGGGCAGGCUCGAGUUCGGUAGGGGAGACUGGAAUUCCUGGUGUAGCGGUGAAAUGCGCAGAUAUCAGGAGGAACACCAGCGGCGAAGGCGGCACUGUCGGGUCGAACUGACGCUGAGGACGAAAGCGUGGGGAGCGAACAGGAUUAGAACCGACCGAGUCAGACCAAGCCAU
rnacentral:rRNA from 1 species